rnacentral:tRNA from 1 species
AAGGUAGGGUGGCCGAGCAGGCGGCGAGCUGUAGCCUCGUUUACGGGGGGCGGCCCCCUCCCCCCAAAA